rnacentral:ncRNA from 2 species
CGGACCAACUCUGGAGAGCGGCCUUUACGGCCCACCGAAGGGGCAGGCGGGGACUCUCUCCGCUAUCUCUCAGGUACCGAGGACAGAGGGGUGCGA